ensembl:lncRNA
UGCUGGCCAUGCACACAAAGCCUGGUCCUGUGCUAGAAGGUUUGUGUCUUCAGUGCAUGGACAUGUGAUGGGUGAAGGGCCAAACGAGUAAAGGAGAGGCCAGCGCAGGUCUGCAAUCACAGCUAAGUGGGCAAAGUAUCAAGGAAAUACCCAGCUGGAGAUGGUUGCUACCAAUGCUUGGGGAAUACUGUGCCAGCACAUGAAGCAGAGCACUACCAGCGGCUGCAGGCAGUGUGCUCCAGAUGUGGCUGCCCUGCUGACAAGACAGGCACUAAGCACUUUACACAGGAAAAUGCUGUAUUCAGUUUACACAGCUUAAACGGAUGGAGGUAGUGAGAGAAGCUGUCUUCAUCAUCUCUAAUUACAUGCAUUUAAAAAACACGUGCAGUUUUCCAGUAGGAAAAUACUUUGAAAAUAAUGCUGUUGUUGUCUCCUUCUGAAAGCCCUAUCUCUUACAUCGCCCACUGCAUGGCUGUGCUCCAAGCUCUGCUGACAGCGCUCGAGGGAAGUCCCCGUGACUCAGAUAUAGCCAGGCAGAUGCCAGCAAUACUCCUUCCUAUUUUGCUGCCAACUGUUUAACCCAAACAGUGAUCCUCCACGACUGGACGAUUAAGGUCCAUGUAGGCAUGAAGAUCAGAGUGAUGCCUGCACCGCAGGCUUGUUGGUUUGUAUAUGAAAUAUAGGCACUGAAAUCUUUAUAGAAUUUGGAUUCAUUCUCCAAGAGCUGCUCCUGCACUAUCACAAAAGCCAGAGCAGCCCAAAGGUGACAGUGGUUUGCUAGGAGGGGCUCACCGCUCCUCUAGGAUCAGAGUUGUGCUGGGGACAGCUUCAGGAACUCUUCAGAAAAGAGCCUGGUGGGAGUAGUGUGAUUCGCAGCCAUGUGCAGCAAUCAUGGAGAGUGAUGGGCUCUGUCCCUACACACACUUCUCAGCUGAGUUCCUCGCCCCACUGUUCCAGCUGCCCACGGGGUGCUGAGGCUGGAGCUCCUGGCCUACGCUACUCAAGGAAUUGGACAACACAGCCACUGUUGUUCCUCUGGUCGCAGCAUUGAUACAUCCUCUGGGAAACUGCAUCAGAUGUGUCUCUCUCUCUCUUUCGGUUGCUUUUCAUAGUGAGGUUUCGUAAACCUAGAGCAUGAUGUGCACCUCAGUGCAGGCUGUGUAUCUUUGUUAUGAAGCUGUGAGAUGUCCUCAGAGCCUUGGGAAGGAGCAGCAGGCUGAGCUGGCAUGUCGUCCUGCUGCACAGCAGCCUGGCUUUGGGGCUGCCUGUCCUGCCGUGUCUCGCUCCUACAGGAACAAAGCACGGAGCAAAUGUGAAGAGUGGCUUUUUGUACUAAUGUAGGUCUUCUUUUCAUUAUCAUCUUUUCAGGCUGUCAGUUGAAGUCAGCAACAGGCCUUUUUGCUCAUUAUAAAAGUGGGACUAUAAUUCCCAGUUCAUUAAAUGGACGGUUGUACCUCUGUGAGGUCGGGUAACUGUCCCCAUGGGCCUCUUCUGCACAGGAGCCACCUCUCUCCUGAGGGGAAUCUCGGUGGGUAACAGUGGCACAUACAUCUGCUCUAACUGAAGAACUUGGGUGCAUUAAGUUUUGGAAAGCUUAAAAGCAGAAUCUAUAUCCUGGCUUUAUUCUUUCAUUUCAUUCUACUAGCACUCAGAGAGCUUGCAGGUUUCCAGAGCUUUGCUUUAACUCAUCUCCAAGAGCUGGAAAUGGCAAACAUGCCUGCAGUUUUUUAAUUGAAGAAUGCAUAGUUAUGCUUGGAAGCAGACACACUGGGCAAUUCUAACGUAGCUGCCCAGCACUGGGCCACGAUGAAUGCUCUGCUGUGAUAAUGUGACUGCUCUUUAAUCGCUCACCAACAACUCUCUCCCCUCAAUGACAGCUUCUCUUGCUUCAGUUGUUAUCACCUGCCUGGCAGAGAAUGGCUGUGCAGAUUAAGCCCUCACUGCGGGUGCUCAUCUCCCUUUCAGUCCCCUUCUCUGCCUGAAGUCCAAGGGAAGAAUCUUGCAGAGAAAAAUCCAGAGUGGGGAUAUCUCGGAG